rnacentral:lncRNA from 1 species
AUCUGCACUACCAUGGUUACAGAAGGAUGAAGAAGGUUUCUGUGGUCUGACACUGGCUCAGCAGGAAGGUCCGUGCCAGAGGAGUGCCACCAGCACAUACAGGAACUGUGGUACCUGCUGCAGGAACCAACACCUCCGCUGAUGCCAUGGUUUGGAGCUCUGUGACCAUAGACUCUGGUCUACUCAGCUGGAGAGAGACUCAACUGGAUAAUACCUUUGUCUUCUCUGAUGAUUUCACUGAAAGGGCAGAAAUACUGCAGCCACAACAUUUAGUGGAUAUCUGACAAAACCCCGGCCACUUCUGUUCUCCAGCGUCAGCAGAGCAGUAGAAGUUAGGAAGCAUCAAAAGACCCUUUCAGCGUACUGAGAGAAGCACAAGUUGAAGGACGGCGCUGAUGAGAUGAGACCAAGGAGGAGGCUGCAGCAUCAUUCACACGUUCAUCUCCGUGCUGAGCUCCUGCCCUAGAGCCCCAGUACCACGCUCACCGGGGAUGCUUCUUGGGGAUCCAGCUCCUGCCAUUCUGUGACUCCUCAUUCCCCUUCUGCGGAGCUUCAUUUCUACUGGUAUCCAUCCUGACAGUCUCUGGGGCAGGCUGGCUGCUGCUCGUGCUGCCAGACCCCUGGCUGAGCACCUUGGCAUAAGUCAGGAUACAGAACCUUAUUUUUGUUUCUCAGUGGGGAAUCACCCACAUAUCACCCAAAGGCACAUAUCUUGAAUCGAAUCAUCAUAAAGAGAGGAAAAAAAUAUUUCAUUUCUUCUUUAGGCCCUUGAAACAAAUUCAUUGUCCUAUUUGUGCACUAGGCAGUAUUCUUGAAAUCAAAAGCAGAUCUUUUAAAACCAAGAUGGACAUUAAUUUUAUCAACCACGUGUCUUAGAGAAUACCUACCCUGUUUGAAAAUUAUUUCUCUAUGUGAAGCUAUGCCUAAGUUUACAAGCUUAGCAAGACCUUAAGUGACUUGCUUUAUACAACCAUUCAGUAUUGCCCUGCACUCCAAUAAUCCUUUAGUAUAAUAAAAUAUAUGUCUUCACUUCUUUACUAGAAGUU